CGAAGGGGGCUAGCGUUGCUCGGAAUUACUGGGCGUAAAGGGCGCGUAGGCGGACAGUUUAGUCAGAGGUGAAAGCCCAGGGCUCAACCCUGGAAUUGCCUUGAUACUGGCUGUCUUGAGUACGGGAGAGGUGUGUGGAACUCCGAGUGUAGAGGUGAAAUUCGUAGAUAUUCGGAAGAACACCAGUGGCGAAGGCGACACACUGGCCCGUUACUGACGCUGAGGCGCGAAAGCGUGGGGAGCAAACAGGAUUAGAUACCCUGGUAGUCCACGCCGUAAACGAUGAGUGCUAGUUGUCGGCAUGCAUGCAUGUCGGUGACGCAGCUAACGCAUUAAGCACUCCGCCUGGGGAGUACGGUCGCAAGAUUA
rnacentral:rRNA from 1 species